CAGCCGCCGCGGUAAUACGUAGGUGGCAAGCGUUGUCCGGAUUUAUUGGGCGUAAAGCGAGCGCAGGCGGUUUCUUAAGUCUGAUGUGAAAGCCCCCGGCUCAACCGGGGAGGGUCAUUGGAAACUGGGAAACUUGAGUGCAGAAGAGGAGAGUGGAAUUCCAUGUGUAGCGGUGAAAUGCGUAGAUAUAUGGAGGAACACCAGUGGCGAAGGCGGCUCUCUGGUCUGUAACUGACGCUGAGGCUCGAAAGCGUGGGGAGCAAACAGGAUUAGAUACCCCCGUAGUCCCUGUCUCUUAUAC
rnacentral:rRNA from 1 species